ACAUCUGGGCAACCUGAGCUUCAACAUCUGGAACAACAUGAAGGACAUGGUCUCCUACACUCCUCUGAUUCUGGACCCAAACACUGCUGGUCCAGAACUCAUCCUGUCUGAAGAUCUGACCAGUGUGACAA